GAAACUCCUUCAGCCACUUACCUUUCUCUAGCACCGUGCUCCCUCGGCACUGGUGACCUCUCUUCCCCCUGCCGACGUCAGAUCCGCAUGCGCGGCAAGAGACACGUACGCAUUCAAACCGCCCAUAGGAAAGCAUUACUCAAUGCUUUCCCAUGGACGUCCAGCGUCUUCUCACUGUGAUUUUCAUAGUGAGAAUUGUGGAAUCACCUCUAGCGGCUGUCAGUGAGACAGCCACUAGAGGCUGGAUUAACCUUCAGUGAAACAUAGCAGUUUCUCUGAAACUGCUAUGUUUUCAGCUGCAGGGUUAAAAUUAGAGGGACCUGGCACCUAGACCACUUCAUUGAGCUGAAGUGGUCUGGGUGCUUAUAGUGGUCCUUUAAGGGGACAGGAAUACUUCACCCAGAUCACUUCAAUGAGAUGAAGUGGUUUGCGUACCUAUAAUGUCCCUCUAAUAUCCUUCCACAAUGCAGAAGAGACCUGAAAUUAAGGAAGAGUGAGAUUAAGUCAGAAGAGUGACUAAUUAUCACUCGUAAUAAAAGAGAAUUUAUUUUUUAUUUUUUGUAGAAAUAAUAUAUUCAAUUAUAAUACUACUAAUCUCUAUAGCACAUUUGGAAAGUAUAAAAUGUAUUUUAUUUAUAUCAAUAACGGACAGGCAACCUCUUCAUUCUAUAAUAGAACCCAACACAAUGUAAUGUCAGUUAUAGUAAACUAUAAAAGAAAUAAAAUUUUAUGUUGAGAGCCAAUAAACUAAGUUUAAUCAAUAUUAAAGCAUUUGUAUAUACUUUUUGUAUUUUUAUUACUGGUCAGUUUUUACCCAGUAGGCCAUCCAUCUGGUUCGAAUGCAAAUGGUUAAUUUGACCAUUGCGUAAUUACAACAGCACAUUUAAGAAUUUGUUUUCCUCUGCACCUUUAUUUAAGAUAAAUUUCAUGGGGGGAGGGAGGGGCGCAUUUGCCCUGUGUAAAUUCAUGAGUUUGAAUUUGUGUGUUUUAAUUCACGAGUUUGAAUUCAGCAGUUUUAAGUCGCUUAAAUAUAUAUAUAAAUGUUUGUCCUGAGGAAAGUUACCAUGUUGAACUGAAACGUUGGUGUGGUUUUUUUUUUUUGGUUUUUUUUCCAAGUAAAGCAUUGUUUUUUGAAAAACCUGGUGUGCUGAUUUUUUUCCCUGUGUGUUUGUGUUUACAAGACUUAUUGUCAUUUUUUUUCUAUGCAAAAUAUUACUAUGUGAUUAAAAGACAAUUGUCACCAAUAAAUUUGUUUUUUGUUUUCAG